UGGCGGAAAAAGGGAAUAUGCAAGUUUCUGCCGGCGACCCACCGCCACCUCUCGCGGGAGUCUCGGGUCACGCGAAGCACCGAAUUGCUUUAAGGCACUACAAAGCCCCAAACACGGAACCGGCUCGAUAUAAGCACAAGUAGGACAAGGAUUAUACAAUAUCGGACAAACAGAAGAAGAGAAAAGGCUCACCGACAGAGGCCAGACAUGAGUAAACGUUGGGCGGGCUUCUCAGAAAUAGCGUGAACUGAAAGAAAAAGAAGACUGCAAAUCGGAUGCUGACUUGCCAUGGCCGUGUUGCUCUUGAAAUUUUACAAGCGUUGGCGGGUACAAGUGUCACGAAGAAAUCCAGAGAAUCCUCAAGAUGUUACACAAUAGCCACACAGCAUCUGCCUAUGACAACUCUCCUGCGGGGACUAGCGACAGCAUACCGCCUCGAUCUCUGAAUCCAUUUCCCUGUAAUUCCGUACACAAGUAAUGUAGGCCUACUUACUUGCAGAUAAAUGUACGAUUGUUGCGCAAAUUGUUCAAGCUAUCGUUAUGUAUUAUGUUGGCCAACACUCUUACACUGAUCGUUCUGUUCAACAACCAAAGAUAAAACAAUUUUAAUCUAGGAUAUAACAUCUCCCCGUCAACUUUAAAAAAGGAUGGGUUUAUUGUAACCCAUACACCCUUUCAAAAUGUAUAACCUUGUCUACUUUUUAUUAACAUCUACCUCAGACAUGGCUCCAUUGCCGGUGUUACACCGAAUUCUGCGACCCACCGAGAAGUGUGACCCCAGGGGGCGCUGUUGCACAUUAUCUGCAACAUGCACGUGUGCAUUAUAUCGAAAACAUAAAUAAAACAUAAGAUCUCCGGUGGGUCUUUCUUUUCUUGAUACUAACAUUAAUUCUAAACAGCAUUUUAAACAGUAGCCUAUAAUAGGAUAUGCUCAAAGGUAAUUCAUUGAAUUUAACCAUCACUGUAGCUUUUUAUGGGCAAAGAAGCAACGGUGAAGGACCGUAAUAAACGCCCUAGCCAUGUUAUUGGUCUGUAAAAUGCUAAUCAUAUCAAUGAAAUGUAUUUAUUAAGCACCUUAACUAAAAAGGUAAAUGGUUGGGGGGAGAUCUUAUGUUUUAUGUAUGUUUUUGUCAUGCCUGUCUACUCUUCAACC